rnacentral:misc_RNA from 1 species
UGCGGGAGCUGGCUUGCCUGCGAUGGCGGUGGUGGAUUCACCAUCGCCAUCGCAGGCAAGCCAGCUCCCACA